CCACUUUAAGGACUAAAGUGGACUUUUGACCAUAAAAUUCCGAGGGAAGUUGUGUUUUACUCUAUUUUCUUAAGAUAAGAAAAUAAUGUCCAUAAAAUGAUUAUCGAUAAUCAUUAAAAUGAAAUAUUGGAUGAAAAAGUGCAAGUUAGCUCAAAAUGGAAAUUUGAGCGUUUUUGGCAAAAAUUGCCAAAAUAAAAUUAUUGAAAAAUGAAAUUAUAAGAUAUGAGAUUAAUAUUAUUUAUUUGGAAAUAAAUAAUAUGGAGUUAGUCGGACCUAUAAGAUUUAGUGUUCGACGGACUAAAUUGGACGAAAGAAAAGUUAUGGAUUAAGAAAUGAGGAGGUGGCAAAUUAAAGGGCUAAAAUGGAUAUAAGGCCACAACUUGAUGAGUAAGGGAUUAAGUGGCAUAAUUUCCAGAAAUAUCCAUAACUCAUUCAUUCAUUAGCAAAGAAUAAGAAGAAAGAAAGAAAAGAUGGAGAAGAAGAAAGAAAAGAGAAAAAUGGAGAGAUCAUGCCAAAAUCAAGUUUCGGAACUCGUUUCUCGACCAAAUUGAACGAUUUUGGUGGCUAUGGAUUCAGGACUCAAUCCUCUACUCAAGGUUCGGCAAGGAUUCCGGACAGCCAUGCCCUGCCCCUAGUAGGCAGAGGUAUAAAGGUCAUAGGGGCUGAGGGGGUAAGUCCUCAAUUGUCGAGAACGAAAGCAUUCGUCGUUGGUUAAACUCGACAAGUAACGGAUCGAGGUAAGAAUGUAGUUCGACGUUUUCGAAAUAAGUAUUGAUUGGACUUUGGUGUGAUUAAUGUUUAAGGUAUUUGGCCCUAGCAUAGUACAAAGAUUUAUGAUAUAAAUGCUAAAGUCUAAGGUUCCGUUAGUCUAUAAGUUACGAGAUAAAGUUUACGCAAACUAGUAGGACGUUUUGCAGAAAACUCUUCUGCAAAACAGCCCUGUUGCAAAGGCCGUAUCUCGAGUUAUAUAACUCCAAAUUAAGUUCCGUUUGUUGGUACGGAAACUUAAGGAUGUUAUCUAAAUAUGUCUAAGUAUAAGUUUUUGAUGAUUCGGAACCUAAGAUGUUCAUUUUGGACUGAAUAUUUUAUUAUGCAGUCUGCCCUGCACUUGUAAUCAGCUUUAAGGAAAUAACUUUGGAGCUAAUUUCCGACACCUUCGGGUGCUAAUCUCAGUCCGAGACCUAAACAAAUGUUUUAGGAGACAUUCUAAACUUUAAGAAUGUUAAGUUUGUUUAGAGGUCGGACUGUUUUAAAUGAGCGAUUUCGAUAGCCGAAGUUGGCUAGAAAUUAUGUUUUGGAUAUUUAGCAUAUAGUUAGAAUGUUAAUAAUUUAGGUUAUUAUCGAAUUUUUGUAGACUUGCCGAGGAAACUACUAACAGGACACGGAACGUGACGAACGAUAUUGCUUUGUUUGUUCUAGAAGAUUUUGGAUAGCAAGUGUGUUUCAUUUCAGGGUCAUAGUAAAGGAUGUGACGAACUUCUAUGUCCUUGUUCCAGAAGUUCGGAGUUUGUACAGAAUCAAUAGUGCUGCAGUAGUUGAGUAUUAGUAAGUUGUAACGGUGUGUCAAACGGUUUUGAUUGUAAAACGUAUACUCUGAUAUUUGUAAAAGGUUUUGAAACUGCGCUUUUAAACCGUUUGUUAAAGGUGGAACGGGCUGUGCUAGAUGUGAGACAUCGCAAUAUAAGACCCAGGUUCCUAUGUAAUGUUUUCAGGUUUUGAAACAGACGUUUGUAUACGUCAAGAAUGGAAAGGUUUUCAUGAAAAUGAUUUUGUAUAUGAUUAUGAUUUUUUUUUAUCAA